AUGCUUACUUGCCAAGUCACAUUUUUAUGUCUUCGAUGGUAUUUUGCUCUAAGGAGUCAACGUCUCAAAAUGGCAGCAGCUAGGGGAACAUUAACUGAUGCCUUAUCCAACGUUGACGCCUUAGAAUGAACUGUUGGAAGAUGGCUUGGAACAUGCGGUCAUGCUGUACACGUGGCGAUGUUGCUCUGGAGCCAUACCGCAAUCAAAGUUCAAUGAGCAGCCGAACUGGGUGGAAAUCUAUGAAAAGACUGUUGAAGUAUUAGGUCCUGAAGUGAACAAGCUGCUUAAUAUCAUGUAUUUUCAG